CAUGAAUGAAAAGGUCAUAUAUUUAAAAUGAAACGCCCCUCUAGAGGGAACUUCCUGUUGGAAAGUGGGAGUUCAGAAUUCAAGAUGGCAGCUGCUCCUCACAACUCAACAAAGGUGAUUCCUCUCUGAAAGAAGGCCACGGCCAGAUGUUCAUCCUUGCGUAUGCUGCAGUCAAAUGCCUGAGAAACGACAGAAAGAAGCUCUAACUUCCUCCAGAAGAGCAGAAAGCAUUCAAGUCCUGGUCCAGGAGCUGGAGGCAGCCGAUGUUGAAGCAGAUUUUGGAGUUAGGGUCUUGGAUGGACAGGAAGA